CCUGGCUCAGGAUGAACGCUAGCGGCAGGCUUAACACAUGCAAGUCGAGGGGCAUCGGGAGUAGCAAUACUUGCCGGCGACCGGCGCAAGGGUGCGUAACGCGUGAGCAACAUGCCCGUAUCAGGGGGAUAAUCCAUGGAAACGUGGUCUAAUACCCCAUAGUAAUUAUGUAAGGCAUCUUAUAUAAUUUAAAGCUUUGGUGGAUACGGAUUGGCUCGCGUGACAUUAGCUGGAUGGUAAGGUAACGGCUUACCAUGGCUACGAUGUCUAGGGGUUCUGAGAGGAAGGUCCCCCCACACUGGAACUGAGACACGGUCCAGACUCCUACGGGAGGCAGCAGUGAGGAAUAUUGGACAAUGGAUGGAAAUCUGAUCCAGCCAUGCCGCGUGCAGGAAAGACGGCCCUAUGGGUUGUAAACUGCUUUUGUAUGGGAGCAAUAAGGGCUACGUGUAGUCCGAUGAGAGUACCAUACGAAUAAGCACCGGCUAACUCCGUGCCAGCCGCAGC
rnacentral:rRNA from 1 species